rnacentral:rRNA from 1 species
GCACGCUCAAUCCAAAGCUGUAUUCGGGUUCGCAUUGUAAUUUGUAGAGGAUGAUUUGGGGAAGCCGCCUGUCUAAGUUCCUUGGAACAGGACGUCAUAGAGGGUGAGAAUCCCGUAUGUGACAGGAAAUGGCACCCUAUGUAAAUCUCCUUCGACGAGUCGAGUUUGUUUGGGAAUGCAGCUCUAAAUGGGAGGUAAUUUCUUCUAAAGCUAAAUAUUGGCGAGAGACCGAUAGCGCACAAGUAGAGUGAUCGAAAGAUGAAAAGCACUUUGGAAAGAGAGUUAAAAAGCACGUGAAAUUGUUGAAAGGGAAGCGCUUGCAAUCAGACUUGUUUAAACUGUUCGGCCGGUCUUCUGACCGGUUUACUCAGUUUGGACAGGCCAGCAUCAGUUUCGGCGGCCGGAUAAAGGCUCUGGGAAUGUGGCCUCCACUUCGGUGGAGGUGUUAUAGCCCAGGGGUGUAAUACGGCCAGCCGGGACUGAGGUCCGCGCUUCGGCUAGGAUGCUGGCGUAAUGGUUGUAAGCGACCCGGUUCUU